rnacentral:rRNA from 1 species
GAAUUUUGGACAAUGGGGGCAACCCUGAUCCAGCCAUCCCGCGUGUGCGAUGAAGGCCUUCGGGUUGUAAAGCACUUUUGGCAGGGAAGAACAGGCUCUGGCUAAUACCUGGAGCUGCUGACGGUACCUGCAGAACAAGCACUGGCUAGCUCCGUGCCAGCAGCCGCGGUAAUACGUAGGGUGCAAGCGUUAAUCGGAAUUAAUGGGCGUAACGAGUGGGCAGGCGGUUCGGCAAGAAGGAUGUGAAAUCCCAGGGCUUAACCUUGGAACGGCAUUCUUAACUGCCGGGCUAGAGUAUGUCAGAGGGGGGUAGAAUUCCGCGUGUAGCAGUGAAAUGCGUAGAGAUGCGGAGGAAUACCGAUGGCGAAGGCAGCCCCCUGGGAUAAUACUGACGCUCAUGCACGAAAGCGUGGGGAGCAAAC